rnacentral:rRNA from 1 species
GAUGAACGCUGGCGGCGUGCCUAAUACAUGCAAGUCGAGCGAACGGACGAGAAGCUUGCCUUUCUGAUGUUAGCGGCGGACGGGUGAGUAACACGUGGAUAACCUACCUAUAAGACUGGGAUAACUUCGGGAAACCGGAGCUAAUACCGGAUAAUAUUUUGAACCGCAUGGUUCAAAAGUGAAAGACGGUCUUGCUGUCACUUAUAGAUGGAUCCGCGCUGCAUUUGCUAGUUGGUAAGGUAACGGCUUACCAAGGCAACGAUGCAUAGCCGACCUGAGAGGGUGAUCGGCCACACUGGAACUGAGACACGGUCCAGACUCCUACGGGAGGCAGCAGUAGGGAAUCUUCCGCAAUGGGCGAAAGCCUGACGGAGCAACGCCGCGUGAGUGAUGAAGGUCUUCGGAUCGUAAAACUCUGUUAUUAGGGAAGAACAUAUGUGUAAGUAACUGUGCACAUCUUGACGGUACCUAAUCAGAAAGCCACGGCUAACUACGUG